AUGCCGCCACCAUCACCAGCAGCAGCCCUAUCCUCAUCCUUCUGGCCUUCAGCAGAUGCCGUUGCCGUCAGCGAUGACGGCUAUGGCCAUGGCCACAGUGGCAGCCGCGUCGACGAAGCGAGAUCAUCGAGGCGGCUGUUCUCGUGCCUCUUCUGCAAGAAGUUCCUCAAGUCGCAGGCGCUGGGAGGCCACCAGAACACGCACAAGAAGGAGAGGGUCGGCAGCUGGAACGCCCACCUCUACCUCCAAGCUGACCACGACGACCAGCCGGCCACCCGGACGGCUACGGUGCCGGCAAGGAGCUGGCGGCGCGCGUGCCUCGAGGACCACGAGAAACAGAUGCUUCUACCGCAGCAUCUUGAUCUCAACCUUAAGCUUUAA
rnacentral:rRNA from 1 species